UAUAUCUGGGUAUACACCAUGGCAGUGUAGGUGGAAGCGGUGGCGGUGGUGGAGGAAGCCAACACUGUUUUUUAUUUUUAUUUUUAAUUGGGGUAGCCCCCAAAAUAUUGUAACAUAUAAAAAAAGAAAAAAAAGAAUAAGUGCAUAAGUGUCUAUUCUGCACAAGGUACAGACAUGCCUGGUUCAAUUUAAUAAAUGUGAGCUUGUCCACAUUGGCCGUGGACAGGCGGCUGCGCUUAUCUGUGAUAACCUCGUGUCUGUGAUAACCUCGACAACGCAUUCGGAUGUCUGCCCUAUCAACUUUCGAUGCUAUUUUCCGCGCCUACCAUGGUGACCACUGGUAACGGGGAAUCAGGGUUCGAUUCCAGGGAGGGAGCCUGAGAAACGGCUACCACAUGCAAGGAAGGCAGCAGACGCGCACAUUACCCACUCCCGACCCAGGGAGGUAGUGACGAUAAAUUACAAUACACAACUCUUUCGAGGCCCUGUAAUUGGAAUGAUUACACAUAUGAGGCGGUGAGCGGGAAGGCCGAAGU